UGCCACAGACAUAUCACCCUGCAUCCCAAGAGCAGUUACUCACUGUAGCUAAGCAGGGCUAUCCUGGUCAAUACCUGGAUGGGAGACCACAUUGGAAAACUAGGCUGCUGUUGGAA
rnacentral:rRNA from 1 species